rnacentral:rRNA from 2 species
UGGAUCCAGACUUUGAUCAUGGCUCAGGAUGAACGCUAGCUACAGGCUUAACACAUGCAAGUCGAGGGGCAGCGGGAUUGAAGCUUGCUUCAACUGCCGGCGACCGGCGCACGGGUGAGUAACGCGUAUCCAACCUUCCGUACACUCAGGGAUAGCCUUUCGAAAGAAAGAUUAAUACCUGAUGGUAUGAUGAGAUUGCAUGAUAGCAUCAUUAAAGAUUUAUCGGUGUACGAUGGGGAUGCGUUCCAUUAGGUAGUAGGCGGGGUAACGGCCCACCUAGCCAACGAUGGAUAGGGGUUCUGAGAGGAAGGUCCCCCACAUUGGAACUGAGACACGGUCCAAACUCCUACGGGAGGCAGCAGUGAGGAAUAUUGGUCAAUGGACGAGAGUCUGAACCAGCCAAGUAGCGUGAAGGAUGAAGGUCCUACGGAUUGUAAACUUCUUUUAUAAGGGAAUAAACCCUCCCACGUGUGGGAGCUUGUAUGUACCUUAUGAAUAAGCAUCGGCUAACUCCGUGCCAGCAGCCGCGGUAAUACGGAGGAUGCGAGCGUUAUCCGGAUUUAUUGGGUUUAAAGGGAGCGCAGACGGGUCGUUAAGUCAGCUGUGAAAGUUUGGGGCUCAACCUUAAAAUUGCAGUUGAUACUGGCGUCCUUGAGUGCGGUUGAGGUGUGCGGAAUUCGUGGUGUAGCGGUGAAAUGCUUAGAUAUCACGAAGAACUCCGAUUGCGAAGGCAGCACACUAAUCCGUAACUGACGUUCAUGCUCGAAAGUGUGGGUAUCAAACAGGAUUAGAUACCCUGGUAGUCCACACGGUAAACGAUGGAUACUCGCUGUUGGCGAUAUACUGUCAGCGGCUUAGCGAAAGCGUUAAGUAUCCCACCUGGGGAGUACGCCGGCAACGGUGCAACUCAAAUGAAUUGACGGA